rnacentral:tRNA from 1 species
GGCGAGAUGGCCGAGCGGUCUAAGGCGCCGGUUUGAGGCAAAAUUCUCUUCGGAGGCGCGAGUUCCAAUCCCACUCUCGUCA